rnacentral:rRNA from 1 species
AUUCCCCUAGUAACUGCGAGUGAAGCGGGAAGAGCUCAAAUUUAAAAUCUGAUGGCUUCGCCGUCCGAGUUGUAAUCUGGAGAAGUGUUUUCCGCGCUGGACCGUGUACAAGUCUCUUGGAACAGAGCGUCAUAGAGGGUGAGAAUCCCGUCUUUGACACGGACUGCCAGUGCUUCUGUGAUACGCUCUCGAAGAGUCGAGUUGUUUGGGAAUGCAGCUCAAAAUGGGUGGUAAAUUCCAUCUAAAGCUAAAUAUUGGCGAGAGACCGAUAGCGAACAAGUACCGUGAGGGAAAGAUGAAAAGCACUUUGGAAAGAGAGUUAAACAGUACGUGAAAUUGUUGAAAGGGAAACGCUUGAAGUCAGUCGCGUCUUCCGGGAUUCAGCGUGUCGAUCUCGAUCGCCUCGUGUACUUCCCGGUCGACGGGUCAACAUCGAUUUUGGUUCGGCGGACAAGGGCGGGGGGAAUGUGGCACCUUCGGGUGUGUUAUAGCCCUCCGUCGGAUGCGCUGGCUGGGAUCGAGGACCGCAGCGAGGCUUUCGGGUCUUUGCUUAGGAUGUUGGCAUAAUGGCUUUAAGCGACCCGUCUUGAAACACGGACCAAGGAGUCUAACACGCCUGCGAGUGUUAGGGUGGAAAACCCUUGCGCGUAAUGAAAGUGAAAGUUGGGACUCCCGUCGUGGGAGGCACCGACGCCCGGCCCUGAACUUCUGCGACGGUGCUGCGGUAGAGCAUGUGUGUUGGGACCCGAAAGAUGGUGAACUAUGCCUGAAUAGGGUGAAGCCAGAGGAAACUCUGGUGGAGGCUCGUAGCGAUUCUGACGUGCAAAUCGAUCGUCAAAUUUGGGUAUAGGGGCGAAAGACUAAUCGAACCAUCUAGUAG